UUGCACAAGAACUCAGAAGAGUUAGGUAGAGCAUUGCCUCUAAAUGGAGAGAUAGAGAGAAGCUGAGGCUUGCUAUCCACAGUAGCUUUGUGUGUGUUACCCAGAAAUGGAAAGUGAAAAACAGACACUUGUAACCAUGAGUGGUGAGACUUGCUGUGAGUCAAGAAGAAGCAAGGCUUUCAUGGGCAAAGACAUCUAUAAUCAUAACAGGAGAGAACUGGAACAAGAAUUGGAGCAUGGAGGGUGUGGGCUUCAUCUGGACUUCCACCUGGGUAGAGCUGGCAGGAUCAAAUUAAC
rnacentral:lncRNA from 1 species